UAAACCGUGGCUCAGUUCAGAUCGUAGGCUGCAACUCGCCUACGUGAAGUAGGAAUCGCUAGUAAUCGCAGGUCAGCAUACUGCGGUGAAUACGUUCCCGGGCCUUGUACACACCGCCCGUCACACCAUGGAAGUUGGCCAUGCCCGAAGUCGUUACUCCAACCCUUGUGGAGGAGGACGCCGAAGGUAGGGCUAAUGACUGGGGUGAAGUCGUAACAAGGUAGCCGUACCGGAAGGUGCGGCUGGAUCACCUCCUAA
rnacentral:rRNA from 1 species